AUCGUAACUCCUACGGGAGGCAGCAGUGGGGAAUUUUGGACAAUGGGGGCAACCCUGAUCCAGCAAUGCCGCGUGAGUGAAGAAGGCCUUCGGGUUGUAAAGCUCUUUUGUCAGGGAAGAAACGGUAGUAGCUAAUAUCUAUUACUAACGACGGUACCCUAAGAAUAAGCACCGGCUAACUACGUGCCAGCAGCCGCGGUAAUACGUAGGGGGCAAGCGUUAAUCGGAAUUACGGGGCGUAAAGCGUGCGCAGGCGGUGGUGUAAGUCAGAUGUGAAAUCCCCGGGUUCAACCUGGGAAUUGCAUUUGGAACUGCACGGCUAGAGUGUGUCAGAGGGGGGUAGAAUUCCACGUGUAGCAGUGAAAUGCGUAGAUAUGUGGAGGAAUACCGAUGGCGAAGGCAGCCCCCUGGGAUAACACUGACGCUCAUGCACGAAAGCGUGGGGAGCAAACAGGAUUAGAUACCCUUGUAGUCCUAGAGC
rnacentral:rRNA from 1 species